rnacentral:rRNA from 1 species
CGGGGGGGCAAGCGUUGUUCGGAAUUACUGGGCGUAAAGGGUGCGUAGGCGGCUUUCUAAGUUGGAUGUGAAAACUCUGGGCUCAACCCAGAGACUGCAUCCAAAAACUGGAGAGCUUGGGUUCUGGAGGGGAAAGCGGAAUUCCUGGUGUAGCGGUGAAAUGCGUAGAUAUCAGGAGGAACACCGGUGGCGAAGGCGGCUUUCUGGACAGAUACCGACGCUGAGGCACGAAAGCUAGGGGAGCAAACAGGAUUAGAUACCCUGGUAGUCCUAGCCCUAAACGAUGGAUACUUGCUGUGAGGGGGAUUGAAACCCUUUGUGGCGAAGCUAACGCAUUAAGUAUCCCGCCUGGGGAGUACGGUCGCAAGGCUG